rnacentral:rRNA from 1 species
CCCGAAGUAUCCUGAAUCUUUCGCAUUGUUAAUCAUACAAGUGCAUAUAAUAAACACAGAAAAUCAAUGAUUAUCAUGCUAUUAUAUAAUUUAAAAAUUAACGCACUGUAUUCAUAUAAAUCUAUCAACACUUUAUCAAAUUAAUGACAUUUAUUCUAUGUUAAAUUGCAAGCAAAAUAAUUUGAAUAAACUAUAAGCCACGUUUUAUGAUAAAUUUGGCUUUAUGUUAAUAGAUUACAAUGUCCUUAUAUGGAAAAAAUGCACACUAUUAUUAUAAUAUUAUUUAAAUAUUACAAUUUUAAUGAUGAAUUUUCCAUAACGGAUAUUCAGGUUCAUCGGGC